AUGCUCUUCAUAUAUUAUACAAUGCUAUUUUCAUUUUCUAUCAGUUGCCUUGGCGCAGUGGUAAAGCUGCUGCCUUGUGACCAUGAGGUCAUGGGUUCAAGUCCUGGAAACAGUCUCUUACAGAAAUGUAGGGAAAGGCUGCGUACUAUAGACCCAAAGUGGUCGGACCCUUCCCUGGACCCUGCGCAAGCGGGAGCUACAUGCACCAGGUUGCCCUUUUUAUCAGUUGUCUCGGACAUGUGUUUUGAUGUGUUCUGUUCUCAUGCUACCUAUACCAAGGGGUUGCCAAAGUUCAGAAGUAGGCUACGGGUAAGCUCUCCUCAACUAUCAGAUAAUUCUCACUCCUUCAGUAUAAUGGUGUUUGUUAAUUCCCAAUCCAUGGACACAUGCUUCCUACCCAUUCAAUUUGUUCAUGUUCUAGAUAAAGGAGUUUGGAUUUAA
rnacentral:rRNA from 1 species